rnacentral:lncRNA from 1 species
UCCAUUUUGAUUUCAGUUAUAUUUUUUAACCUGGAGUGCUCAAUUUGUAAAUUCUGCAUUCCUCCUGGUGCCUACUUAUUAACAGACAUUGUUAACUGCACUACAUCAGUUUUUCUAUUAAGUGUUUUUUCAAUUGUGUCUGUGUGUUUGCAAACAUCUAAAUUUAAAAAAUAGGUGUUUCUAAGUGUCUCAAAAUGUUAAAUAAAGUGACUUUUGAGUUUUUCAUUCUGAUGUUACAGCUCUUGGAACAAAGCUCAAAAGCUAUAUUCAGGGAAUCGGGUGCUAACAACCGUCUAGAGACUAGCUGGAGAGAAGUUCAAUGAUGUUUGGACACCCUCUUAGGGUAGCCCUUGUGAAGAAGUGUAGAAGUUUCUUAGUGGAGAAAUGAAUAUUUGAGUUGCAAAUCUGAAUGAACCAAGAAAUGAAUAAUCUAUCUAGAAACAUAGGAUAGAGUCUUCUAAGCUAUGAGGACAGCACGAAAAAUGUAUAGAGGUAAGAGAGCCCAAAGAGUGUAAAAAACAACAAACUGUUCAAAUUUAGUUGUAUUGAAUAUUAAGGAGAAAAAAAAGACAAAGAUUGAA